rnacentral:rRNA from 1 species
UACGGAGGGUGCAAGCGUUGUCCGGAAUCACUGGGCGUAAAGGGCGCGUAGGCGGCUCAUGAAGGCUGUGGUGAAAGUCCGGGGCUCAACCUCGGAUCGGCCGUGGCGACUCGUGGGCUCGAGCACUGUAGAGGCAGGUGGAAUUCCGGGUGUAGCGGUGGAAUGCGUAGAGAUCCGGAAGAACACCGGUGGCGAAGGCGGCCUGCUGGGCAGUAGCUGACGCUGAUGCGCGACAGCGUGGGGAGCAACAGGAUAGAAACCCAGUACGUC